GAUGAACGCCGGCGGUGUGCCUAAUACAUGCAAGUCGAACGCGUUGGCCCAAUUGAUUGAUGGUGCUUGCACCUGAUUGAUUUUGGUCGCCAACGAGUGGCGGACGGGUGAGUAACACGUAGGUAACCUGCCCAGAAGCGGGGGACAACAUUUGGAAACAGAUGCUAAUACCGCAUAACAGCGUUGUUCGCAUGAACAACGCUUAAAAGAUGGCUUCUCGCUAUCACUUCUGGAUGGACCUGCGGUGCAUUAGCUUGUUGGUGGGGUAACGGCCUACCAAGGCGAUGAUGCAUAGCCGAGUUGAGAGACUGAUCGGCCACAAUGGGACUGAGACACGGCCCAUACUCCUACGGGAGGCAGCAGUAGGGAAUCUUCCACAAUGGGCGCAAGCCUGAUGGAGCAACACCGCGUGAGUGAAGAAGGGUUUCGGCUCGUAAAGCUCUGUUGUUAAAGAAGAACACGUAUGAGAGUAACUGUUCAUACGUUGACGGUAUUUAACCAGAAAGUCACGGCUAACUACGUGCCAGCAGCCGCGGUAAUACGUAGGUGGCAAGCGUUAUCCGGAUUUAUUGGGCGUAAAGAGAGUGCAGGCGGUUUUCUAAGUCUGAUGUGAAAGCCUUCGGCUUAACCGGAGAAGUGCAUCGGAAACUGGAUAACUUGAGUGCAGAAGAGGGUAGUGGAACUCCAUGUGUAGCGGUGGAAUGCGUAGAUAUAUGGAAGAACACCAGUGGCGAAGGCGGCUACCUGGUCUGCAACUGACGCUGAGACUCGAAAGCAUGGGUAGCGAACAGGAUUAGAUACCCUGGUAGUCCAUGCCGUAAACGAUGAGUGCUAGGUGUUGGAGGGUUUCCGCCCUUCAGUGCCGGAGCUAACGCAUUAAGCACUCCGCCUGGGGAGUACGACCGCAAGGUUGAAACUCAAAGGAAUUGACGGGGGCCCGCACAAGCGGUGGAGCAUGUGGUUUAAUUCGAAGCUACGCGAAGAACCUUACCAGGUCUUGACAUCUUGCGCCAACCCUAGAGAUAGGGCGUUUCCUUCGGGAACGCAAUGACAGGUGGUGCAUGGUCGUCGUCAGCUCGUGUCGUGAGAUGUUGGGUUAAGUCCCGCAACGAGCGCAACCCUUGUUACUAGUUGCCAGCAUUAAGUUGGGCACUCUAGUGAGACUGCCGGUGACAAACCGGAGGAAGGUGGGGACGACGUCAGAUCAUCAUGCCCCUUAUGACCUGGGCUACACACGUGCUACAAUGGACGGUACAACGAGUCGCGAACUCGCGAGGGCAAGCAAAUCUCUUAAAACCGUUCUCAGUUCGGACUGCAGGCUGCAACUCGCCUGCACGAAGUCGGAAUCGCUAGUAAUCGCGGAUCAGCAUGCCGCGGUGAAUACGUUCCCGGGCCUUGUACACACCGCCCGUCACACCAUGAGAGUUUGUAACACCCAAAGUCGGUGGGGUAACCUUUUAGGAGCCAGCCGCCUAAGGUGGGACAGAUGAUUAGGGUGAAGUCG
rnacentral:rRNA from 2 species